CACAGCAAGUGCUCGAGAACCACCGAGCCGUUGUGGGAAGCGAGGCACCGAGGCACCGCCAUUAUUUUUAUUGCAACCCUCAGGCUUGGGGGCAGCCUCCCAGAGUCUCUUUGUCCAGCCCCAGGUCAGCUCUCCCUCCCUCCCUCAGCCUCCCAGGACUUCGGAGCUCCUCUCCCCACCCCAUGCCCCGCUGCUCUCACACCUGGCCAAGCGGGGACUUGCUUUCGAGGUCACCGAAGCGGCUCUGUGUCAGGUAGGCUGGGCCUUUUACACAACUGCUUUGAGUCUCUGAGCCUUUAUUUUUUUUUAAGCUUAUUUAUUUAUUUUUUUUCUCAACAUUUAUUUAUUUUUGGGACAGAGAGAGACAGAGCAUGAACGGGGGAGGGGCAGAGAGAGAGGGAGACACAGAAUCGGAAACAGGCUCCAGGCUCUGAGCCAUCAGCCCAGAGCCCGACGCGGGGCUCGAACUCACGGACCGCGAGAUCGUGACCUGGCUGAAGUCGGACGCUUAACCGACUGCGCCACCCAGGCGCCCCACAAUGUUUAUUUAUUUUUGAGAGACACAGAGACAGAAUGCGAGUGGGUUGGGACAGAGAGAGGGGGAGACGAAACUGAAACAGGCUCCAGGCUCUGAGCUGUCAGCACACAGCCCGAUGAGGGGCUCGAACUCACGAGCUGCGAGAUCAUGACCUGAGCUGAAGUCGGACGCUCAACCGACUGAGCCACCCAGGCGCCCCAAAGCUUAUUUAUUUUUGAGACAGAGAGAGAGAGAGAAGGGAGAGAGGCAGAGAGACGGGACAGAGGAUUUGAAGCAGGCUCUGCCCUGACAGCACAGAGCCUGACGCAGGGCUUGAACUCACAGACCAUGAGAUCAUGACCUGAGCCGAAGUCAGACGCUUAACCAACUGAGCCACCCAGGCGCCCCGAGUCUCUGAGCCUUUAGUUGUUGUGAUGCCCCAGCUUCUAGCACAGUGUCAGACACAUAAUAGGGGCUCAAUACAUAUUUGAAUGACUACGUCUUCGGGCUCCAUGAAUCUGCAGGUCUAUUGAACUCUGCUGGUAAAACUCUGGAUUGAUGUGUGUGGGUGACCGCGGCAUUUCUGAGCU
rnacentral:lncRNA from 1 species